GGAGCACAUGAGGUCCUAUAGGCCCCAUAGCUUGGGUAGUGACAUUCUAUUUACUGUCCUCAUCUUAGUCUACUUUCCAUGUAACUUUUCUCCACUUUUUCUGACAAAUGGCGGCAGCAAAAAUGGGGAAGAAGCUUUGGUCUCAGUAUCCAGGUAUCAGACCUAGAUCUAGAGCUGCUUUUGUCUUUUCACCUGCUUGAACUAAACACCUCUGUUUUCAUCAUCACCAACCUGUUUUCAUCAUCACCAUGGUCACCAUGUCUAUCUUGCCAUUACUUUCAGUUCUGUGCCAAAUGCCUAACACUUUAUUGUUAUCAUCUGCCCCGUAAUCGUCACCACCAUCCCCACCACUAACACUGUUGCCUCUGCUCACUCUUACCACCAUCACCACCACCACCUCCACCAGCUGCACCAACUUCAUCACCUUCACCAGUAUCGCCAUCGCCAUCACAAUCACAAGGACUGCCACUUUGAUCUUCACUUAUUCCCACCGUCGCUGCCACUUUCACCACCUCCCCCAUCUCCAUUGCUACCACCACUAUCACAUCCACUACCUUUUGCACCAUCACUACCAUUGUCAUCACUGCCAUGUCAACGUGCUGCGCUGUGUUGUAGGCACAGUGGUUUGUUUUUCUUUAAAAUAGAUUGUUUUCUUAUUCCUUUGUGACCUCCACCACCAUCACCACUACCAGUGUCAUCAUCACCAUCACCACGACUACUGUCAUGGCACUGGCACUCAUUCUGAUUGUCAUUAAUACUACCACCUUUACCACCGUCACCCACCACCACCUUCACCAACACCACUAUCACCCACCAUCACCACCACCUCCACCACCUGCACCACCAUCACCUUCACUACCA
rnacentral:lncRNA from 1 species